UUUCUACGUGCUGCUGUGACAGAUGAAGACACGACCGCUGAACAACUUUGCAAAAAAUAUGAAGAGAAGAUUUUGUCAGUAAUGGAGGGAGGAAUCUGUCACUCUAAAAAUUGAUGCUGAAAUAAAGGGAGAUGAUCAGAUCCUGUGGAUGUUUGGGUCCUCAAGAGACUCUCAUAGCUGAAAUCAAAAAGCGAAACCAGAGAGAUCACUACCUUUGAUGGUAUUGAUGGGAGAUUCAAAGACAAACUGAAACUAGUCAAGACUGCAUCACUGACCAUCACAAACAUCACAGCUGAACACAGUGGAGUCUAUAAACUACAGACCAGCAGCAGCAGAGGAACCUCGUUUCAAAGAUUCAUUGUUAAUGUUAAAGUCAUGAUAAUUUCAGUGGUGGAGGGACAAUCAGUCACUUUAUACCCUGAUAAUACUGGUGCACAGAAAGAUGAUCUGAUUGUGUGGAUGUUUGGAGAUGAAAACAAUCUCAUUGCUCAAAUGACUGGAAAGACCAGAGCAACAUAUGAAGGUACUGAUGGGAUAUUCAGAGACAGACUGAAGCUGGACAAGAGGACUGGAUCACUGACCAUCAGGAACAUGAGAACCGAACAAUCUGGACUUUACAAACUACAGAUGAGCAGCAGCAGCAAAGGAACCACAAACAAGAGAUUCAACAUUGUAAUAAAUUUGAAUAAUGUGUCAGUGAAGGAGGGAGAGGCUUUGGUUUCUGAAGACUAAUGCUGAAAUACGGAAAAAAAGAUACGAUUCUGUGGCUGUUUGGAGAU